GACGAACGCUGGCGGCGUGCCUAAUACAUGCAAGUCGAGCGAGACUCUUCGGAGUCUAGCGGCGGACGGGUGAGUAACACGUGGGCAACCUGCCUGUAAGACUGGGAUAACACCGGGAAACCGGUGCUAAUACCGGAUAAUCCUUUUCCUCUCAUGAGGAAAAGCUGAAUGUCGGUUUCGGCUGACACUUACAGAUGGGCCCGCGGCGCAUUAGCUAGUUGGUGAGGUAACGGCUCACCAAGGCGACGAUGCGUAGCCGACCUGAGCGGGUGAUCGGCCACACUGGGACUGAGGCACGGCCCAGACUCCUACGGGAGGCAGCAGUAGGGAGUCUUCCACAAUGGACGAAAGUCUGAUGGAGCAACGCCGCGUGAGCGAUGAAGGCCUUCGGGUCGUAAAGCUCUGUUGUUAGGGAAGAACAAGUACCGGAGUAACUGCCGGUACCUUGACGGUACCUAACCAGAAAGCCACGGCUAACUACGUGCCAGCAGCCGCAGUAA
rnacentral:rRNA from 1 species